UACGAGUGCCUCAAGCGUUAUCCGGAAUCAUUGGGCGUAAAGGAUGUGUAGGUGGUUGUGUUAGUCUUGUGUUAAAUUCUUCGGCUUAACCGGGGGCAUGCACGGGAAACGGCACGACUAGAGGAUGCGAGGGGUCUGCGGAACUCAUAGUGUAGCGGUAAAAUGCGUUGAUAUUAUGGGGAACACCAAAAGCGAAGGCAGCAGACUGGAGCACUCCUGACACUGAAACAUGAAAGCGUGGGACGCGAAUGGG
rnacentral:rRNA from 1 species